AUGGCGGACACGGUGCAGUACCGCCUCGAGCGGAUGUCCGAUGAGCUCGACGACCUCGAGCGCCGGGGCCUCUUCACCCGGGCCGAGCUCGCCGAGGUCGUGCGCCGCCGCCGCGACUUCGAGUUCCGCCUCCGCCGUCACUCCCCGCGCAAGGCCGACUUCCUCGACUACAUCGCCUACCUGCUCCGCGUCGACGCUCUCCGGGACCUGCGCAAGCGCGCCAUCAUACGCGCCACUCCUAACCCUACCCACUCCGACGAGGACAACGGCACGAACGAGGAUGGCAAAAAGAGGAAGAAGAGGAAGAAGAAGUGGGCCAAGUCCAUCUCCGACUUCGCGGGAGUCCUCCGCGUCCUCGACGUCUACAGGAUGGCCACCGUCAGGUUCAAGGGCGACCUCGACCUCUGGUUCCGCUACCUCGAGUUCUGUCGCCAGAAGGGCCACGGCCGGAUGAAGCAGGUUAUGGCGCAAGCCAUUCGUUACCAUCCCAAGGUUCCUGGGCUUUGGAUGUAUGCAGCAGCGUGGGAAUUUGAUCAGAACUUGAAUGUUGCUGCAGCACGUGCACUUAUGCAGAGUGGUCUCAGAUCUUGUCCAGAAUCUGAAGAUAUGUGGAUUGAAUAUCUUCGCAUGGAGCUUACCUACCUUAACAAGCUUAAGGCUCGAAAGGUAGCUCUUGGGGAGGAUGUGAAGACACUGCAAAAAAGUACUGAUGAUUCGGGUCAGUGGAAAGAGGAGAACAAAGAAUUGUUCAUGUCACUUGAUGAACAAGGUGACAGUCCCAAGGAGUCUGGCUUGGAGGAUGUUGCUUUGGAGGACAAGGAAGAUCUAUUUUGGCAGCAAGGAGUGUUAAUCAUACGAACAAUUUAUCAUGGUGCUAUGGAAGCUCUUCCGUCAAGCUUAACCUUGAGGAAGAAAAUUUUGGAUAUAUUAAAUAGUGUUGAGCUGGCACAUUCUGAAGAGCUGAGGUUAGAGGUCAUGGAUGACCUGAAGAAAGAUUUCUCUCAUAAUGAGGACUACUGGGAUUGGCUCGCUAGGCUUCAGCUUAGUGACUCCACUAAUUCCAGUACUUUGAAUAAAAAGGAAGCUGUAUUGAAUAAGCUUAACAAAUCAAUUCAGGUGUAUGAUGAAGCUGUCAGAAAGUUGCCUACUUCCAAAAUGUACUCCCUGUAUGCAAACUUCUGGUUGGGUGUUGUAUUCUCCGACAGAGAGGACUCCAUCUCAUUAUUCCGUGAUGCUGAUUUUGAUGCUUCAGAAUUCACUUCAGCUAUACUGCAAGUUUUUGAAAAUGCUGAAUCGUGUGGAUGUCUCUCCGAGGAUCUUGCCUGCCAGUAUGUCUCACUUUGUUUGAAACUUGGAAGGUCGGAGGAAGCACCUGAAAGAUUGGAGGAAGCUAAGAAUCUCGCAGAAAAGCUCUGCAGUGGUCCUCUUUCACAGGCUGCAAAUCUGUGGAACUUGAGAGCUUCUAUAGAGAUAAAGUCACUUGCUACUGCUACCGGCAGUGCUUCCUUUAGUGAGGAGAAUCUAAGUUCUCUGUUUGAUUUAUUUAAUAUUGUACUUCCGAAGUUAUCCAUAACCAAGGCUGAGGGACUCUGGCAUACGGCGAUGAAAUUGUUUUCUCAUGAAAAGAUAUAUUUCGAAAAGCUGGUGAAAUGUGCAAUGCUAUCAUUAAGUUCAGCUGGUGGGAGUGAUUGUGGAGCUUCAGUCUCUUCAGCUUUUAUCGGAUGGGUUUUGCAGAAAGAUGGUAUUAAGCAAGCUAGGAAAAUGUAUAAGAGAUUUUUGGCUUUACCGCGCCCCAGUCUUAAGUUCUUCCAGUUCUGCAUAGAGCUGGAAGCUAACCUUGCAUCAAUCGGAAACAAUGAUGGCCUUGUAAACGCGCGCAAGCUCUAUGACUCAGCAAUCAGCCUCUAUCCACAAGAAAGGGAACUAUGGAGGAAGUACUACAAUAUGGAGUUGACGGUGGGAACAUCAGAAACAUCAAAUGCUAUCUACUGGCGUGCCCGCAAGGUGCUCAAUGACUCCACCGCGCUCGACAUUCCCCGUAGUUAG
rnacentral:rRNA from 1 species